rnacentral:rRNA from 1 species
UACGUAGGGUGCAAGCGUUGUCCGGAUUUACUGGGCGUAAAGAGCGCGCAGGCGGUCGUUCAAGUCGCGUGUGAAAGCCCCCGGCUCAACUGGGGAGGGUCACGCGAUACUGAUCGACUCGAAGGCAGGAGAGGGUAGUGGAAUUCCCGGUGUAGUGGUGAAAUGCGUAGAUAUCGGGAGGAACACCAGUGGCGAAGGCGACUACCUGGCCUGUUCUUGACGCUGAGGCGCGAAAGCUAGGGUAGCAAACGGG